AUGGAGAAUAGGAAAGUGGGAGUACACAUCUUGUUCCUAACCUGUCUAGGAGGUGGUCAUACUACAAGAGGAUCACAGCAGGCCCAGGUCUCUGUAAGUCUCGUGUCCUGAAACUUUCCAGACAUCAAGAUCAAUGAGAGAACAAGGUUAAAAGAAGUUACAAUCUAACAGGAAGCAGCAUGUGCAGAUUUAUGUUAUCUAAUGUUCAGGAUCACCUCCAUUCCUUUGAAAACUGCCAGUAGAAGGGUGAGAGAAAUAAGCCAGGAGAUCAGAGCAAGGUGAGUAACACAUGGAGUAUGCUUUCCUCCCUAUCUGCAUACACAGGUCAUUCCUUGUGUAUUAAUUGUAAGGACAUUUGACGGCAGCCCUUCUCAGCUCUCACCCCCCUUGUAUCCCUCACACUGCCAUCCCAGUGUUUUCCACAUGCUCUCAGUACUCCUGCUGCUGCUGUUCAGGAAUCACCAAAGUUUGUAAUGUGUAGGUGUGUGUGUGUGGUUAUUAUUUUGCCAAGCUUUUCUCUGCAAAACUUGAGAUGGUAGAAAGAAACAGUGACGGUCAGAACUAAAUAUACAGUUUGCUGGAGCGGUAAGCACUUCUCCCCUGCCAGUUCCAAAGACCUACAGCAAAUAAAGGAAAUAAUGCCUUCUGUAAAUACUGCA
ensembl:lncRNA